CCAGGUUGCAGAGCCGCGGGGCCCGGGACGCGCGUUGGGCCGCUGGGUCUCGGCCUCUCCCGCCUCCCGCCUCCCGCCUGCAACCUGCAACCUGCAGCCUCCCCCCUCGGGGGUGCAUGGGACGGACCCCCGGCUGCCACUGCCGCGUCCCCAGACCCAGACUGGACCCCCAGAGACGUGCGGCGGCUAGCCCAAGGACUUGAGCAACUUAGGUCGCUUCCUGGUCCUCCACCACCCCCCGUGUUGACCUGGAAGUAGGGAGGCCUUGCAGUGCUGCCCAGAGCCCCUGGCUAGGCGCGCCAGCCUCCACAGGCUACCUGCAGAGAUCUGCGAGAAGGUCAAUGUGUGGCCUUGAGAACCGGAAUGAAUUUGGAAUCAAGGCUCUGCUAUUUACUAAUUGUGGGCCUUGAACACAGAGGAACGUUUCCUAAUCCACCCUCUCCCAGUAUCACCAAGCCGCCUCAGGAAAUGUCCACCCCCACAGCAAAUUCAGCUGCCAGCUCCAGUCAACCACGGCAGUGACACUAUCUGAGCCUCCUUUUGUUGUCCCUCAACCACACUUAACCACCAGAGAGAGCUGGACAAAUACUUUCUUUUGUGACAACGGCAGUAGCUCGGUGUGUCAGAGACACAGGUAAUGGAAUGUUCCCCCUAGACAGAGCUCACAUUGGGGCCGGGUGGCGGUGCACCUGGUUAAGGGCGCAUGUUACAAUGUGCAAGGACCCAGGCUCAAGCUCAGUCCCCACCUGUAGAGGGAAAGCUUUGCGAAUGGUGAAGUGGGUCUACAGGUGUCUCUUUGUCUCUCUUCCUCUCUAUCUUCCCCUUUCUGUCUUGAAACCUGGCUGCCUC